GCAGCAGUUCUCCCAUACCAGUGCACAAUUAAACAAGGUUUCAGUGGCUGUAUCAUCCAUGAUGGAAGAAGUGUGUUUUGGAUAUAUCCGUAUAGCACACGCGCUAGAAUAAAAAAACCUUUGGGUACCAGCAGGAGCAGAGUCCAGCAUGUAAGAUACUAACUCCAGAAGAGACCACCCCUCACAGUAUUUCAGAGACUUUUGGACAUGGUACUGAGGAAUGUAUGAUGAAACUUGGUCUGCAAAAUAUCACUGUGCUAUCACAGAGGCUCUCUCUACCAAGUCUUCGGCUGAAGGAGGCUCUGCCCUUAAACCAGAUAGUCCACUGACCAGGAAGAUAGCAUUGACAGUUAUCUCAAUUGUUUGACUGUGGAUCUCCACAUCAGCACAAGCACUUGGUUUUGGCUGAAACAACACCAGUAAUUUAAGGUCCACAGAGAAUUGUGUCUAACACGAGAGCAUCAGCUGCCAGACUUCCAAGCUCUGUGGCUGGAAGCAGAGCCAGGAGAGUGCACAGGUGAGGGAGGAGAGUGCACAGGGAGGAAGAUGCUGAAGAGUACUCGGUUUAUGUCAGUGAAGAGGGAAGAGUCAGCAUAACAAGACCAAAGACCUCUGCUUUUCUUCAUCCAACACAACCAGAAACAAUAUGAUGCAAUGCUCCAAACACCAGACUUGCACAUAAAGUAAAGAUGAACAGACUCACUUGCAG
rnacentral:lncRNA from 1 species